rnacentral:misc_RNA from 1 species
GUGGAGAGAGAAUAAUACAAACCCUUUACAGUAAUCACAGUAGGGUUCUAAAGGUAAUCACAGCUCUGGUAUUCGAUGGACUUCGUGGGAGAGGUUAUGCUGGAGUAAAGAUUCAGGUGGUAUGGGUUUUAGGUGUCUUCAAGAUUUUAAUAUUGCCCUUCUCGAAAAACAAGCUUGGAGGCUGGUUCAGCGUACAAAUUCUGUGGAAGCGAGAGUUUAUGCUGGCAGAUAUUAUCCAUAUGGUAACUUCUUGGAAGCUAAAUUUGGAAGCAAUCCUAGUUAUUUAUGGCAUAGUGUGCUGCUGCCCAAGAUCUAAUUAGAAGGAAUAGUCUGUGGCGGGUUGGCGAUGGACUAGAUAUUAGUGUUUGGUUUGAUCCGUGGCUUCCUGAUUAAUCUAAUCCUUUUGUAGAGACAGAAAGAGUUGAUGAGUUAGUAGACAUGUUCAGAAUUUAAUGAAAAGUGAUGAACCUUGUUAGGAUAAAGGGGUGAUUGAUGGUAUGUUUUCUCCAAGAGAUGCUGGAUAUUGAUAAAACAAAUCCCACUAGCACUAUGGAGGAGGAAAGAUGCUCUAAGUGAAUGACAUUUACUCUGUUAGAUCCGAUUAUCACAAACUAGUGAGUGCAGAUUUGGUUAUGAUUCAUCCUAAUAGUGUUGUUUGGAAGAAGUUAUGGAGUGCAAAUGUUCCUCCGAAAGUUAAGAAUUUUAUAUGGAGAGAAGUUUCUAAUGUCGCUUUUGAACCUAAAGGCUAAAAGAGUUGAUUUAGAAGAUGUAUGUCCUAUUUGCAAUUGCCAGAUUGAAUCUAUUGUGCACAGUUUGGUGUUGUGUCCUUUUGCUAGAGAUUGUUGGCAUGCCUCUUCAGUGGGUUUUUG